GGGCUGAUGGUGAUAAUGGUAGCACAUCGCUUUUGCAAGGCGAAGGUCUGGGUUCGAUUCCCAGUCGGUCCA
rnacentral:tRNA from 1 species